CAUGAAGACUUACACUGAUUGAUUUUAAAUGUGAUCAAAUCAAUGUACCCAUUUUUUUUAAACGUUACAUUUUGAGUUAAAACACACUUCUUUUAAAGAUAAACAAUGAUGUAUUGAAUGAAUCAUACCCAAAAUUCAUAAUAGUUGAAAAGUUCUUUUGAUAUCUUAAUACUUAGUUUUGAUUCCUGUUUUACAAACUUGUAUUUUCUGAGAGAAAGACAAGAGUCUUGAUUGAAACAUUUGCUUAUUAAAGUGUCCUGGUUUAGCUCAAGUUGGAAAUGUAUAAGUGCUUGUGAAUUAUUGUUUGAUUAAUCUCUUUGUUUUAAAGGUGAUAC
rnacentral:lncRNA from 1 species